rnacentral:rRNA from 1 species
UCGAGAAUCAUUCGCAAUGGGCGAAAGCCUGACGAUGCGACGCCGUGUGAACGAUGAAGGCCUUCGGGUCGUAAAGUUCUUUCGCCUGGGAACAAGAGAGUGCUGUGAAUAACAGUAUGAUUUGAGGGUACCAGGAGAAGAAGCACCGGCUAACUCCGUGCCAGCAGCUGCGGUAAUACGGAGGGUGCAAGCAUUAAUCGGAUUUAUUGGGCGUAAAGGGCGCGUAGGCGGGAAUGUAAGUCAGAUGUGAAAUCCCGGGGCUCAACCCCGGAACGGCAUUUGAAACUACAUUUCUAGAGGGUAGGCGGAGAAAAUGGAAUUCCACAAGUAGCGGUGAAAUGCGUAGAGAUGUGGAAGAACACCGGUGGCGAAGGCGAUUUUCUAGCUUAUUCCAGACGCUGAGGCGCGAAAGCAAGGGGAGCAAACAG